UGCGUAGGCGGCUUGGUAAGUCGGGUGUGAAAGCCCCGGGCUCAGCCUGGGAAGGGCACUCGAAACUGCGGAGCUGGAGUGCCGGAGGGGAGAGUGGAAUUCCUGGUGUAGCGGUGAAAUGCGUAGAUAUCAGGAGGAAUACCGGUGGCGAAAGCGACUCUCUGGACGGCAACUGACGCUGAGGCACGAAAGCGUGGGGAGCAAACA
rnacentral:rRNA from 1 species